rnacentral:rRNA from 1 species
GGACCCGCACAAGUAGUGGAGCAUGUGGUUUAAUUCGAUGCAACGCGAAGAACCUUACCAGGCCUUGACAUCCUCGGAACUUUCUAGAGAUAGAUUAGUUCCUUCGGGACGUUUAGCAAGGUGCUGCAUGGUUGUCGUCAGCUCGUGCCGUGAGGUGUUGGGUUAAGUCCCGCAACGAGCGCAACCCCUAUCUUUAGUUGCCAGCGAGUCAAGUCGGGGACUCUAAAGAGACUGCCUGCGCAAGCAGAGAGGAAGGAGGGGAUGACGUCAAAUCAUCAUGGCCUUUAUGCCUAGGGCUACACACGUGCUACAAUGGUAAAGACAAAGGGUUGCUACUUGGCGACAAGAUGCCAAUCCCAAAAACUUUAUCUCAGUUCGGAUCGGAGUCUGCAACUCGACUCCGUGAAGCUGGAAUC